CGCGUGGGGUGGGCGGGGCGGGGAGGGGAGGCACCUGGCGUCAUCCGGGCUUCUGGGCUAUGCAGUCUGUGGCCAAGGUCACACGCGUGCCGCAGCGUCGUCAGUUUCUCACUCUUUGAUCCUCUUGAGAUGCCACGUUGCGUCCUGGGACGUGUCCGCCCAGCUGCAGCCUUCCUCGUUGCAGGCGAGGCGGCGCAGCCCGGAAGCCGUGAGGAAGCAGGAGAGGGGGACCAGCUGUCAGACCUCAAGCCCAUCCACCCUUCCAUUCCUGGGACGGCCUUUAAGACUUCUCGCCCGAUUUUCACAGCAGCCUUACCAGAAGGUACUGCUGGAUCCAUUUUUCAGGGGAGCAAACCGAGGCUCAGAGAAGUGAAGACACCUGCCUGGGGUCACACAGCAUGGCGUGAGCCCAAGUGUAACACGCUGCCGCCUCCUCCUCACUACCCUCCUCCUGCCCCACAGGCCGCCCUGCUAGCCUUAUGCUCCACCGUGCGAACAACCCCACCUCCUCCGAGCUGAUGCAGUCCCCGUGCCCAUACUGCAGGAACUACACCAUUACGGUGACCUCCCCCGUCCCAGGACUGCUCACCUGGCUGCUGUGUGCCUGUCCCUUCAUGCUUGGGAGGAACAGUCCCCAUGGCUCCCUUCCUGGGUCUGGACUGCUCCUUCUGUCCCCACCAGCAGCCUGUGGCCAGCACAGGGUGAGGGCAAUUAACACGGUCAACAGUCAGUCACUGCGGCCGGAACUGUACCUGACACCUGCCUAGAACUCACCACCCUCAGACGAAACUGAGGCCACCUGCAAGCCAGCUCCAGCUUCCCUCCAGUACUCCCGCCGGCCAGAACCAUGCACCACAUCCAUCCUGGGCCACCCCACCCCGCUGUCACUUUCUCCAGGCACAUCACGAGCUCCUGGCACCCCCAGGACCUAGCAGGGACAGAGGCUGGGACAAAUCUUCCCGGGCCCUGGAAGGCUCCCCACUGGCCCAGGCCUAGCCCUUCAGCCCUUCACUUCUGCAGCCUUGCUGCACCACAGGCACUGCUGAGAAGGCACGAGGCCUCACAGUGGCUUCUGAAGGGGUAAAAGCUCUUGCGGGUAAAAGGAGGGUCUGUCUGGGGACCAGGACAGCAAGGAGGGUGAGACAAAGGACAAUCCAGUGUAACUGUCAGAUACCACCCGUCCUACUAGGGAUAGAAACCAGGACCUUGCAGGGAGGAGAGGGAUACGUAAGAAUUAAAAUGUACUAUGUACAUGGAUCAGCUCACCAUGAUGACUGCAAACAUGUACUGAUGAAAAAAAAGCAAGCAAGCCUUUGAGGAUGAUAGGCAAGUGCUUUACACUGAGGUAUAUCCCCAUCCUUCUCACCCUCCCUUUUUUUGUGUCGUACUGGGGAUGGAAUCCAGAGCCUUCACACUAAGCUAUAUCCCCA
rnacentral:lncRNA from 1 species